rnacentral:rRNA from 1 species
UACGAAGGGUGCUAGCGUUGUUCGGAAUCACUGGGCGUAAAGGGUGCGUAGGCGGCUUUGCAAGCCAGAGGUGAAAGCCUGGAGCUUAACUCCAGAACUGCCUUUGGAACUGCAUGGCUAGAGUGUCGGAGGGGAUAGCGGAAUUUCUAAUGUAGCGGUGAAAUGCGUAGAUAUUAGAAGGAACACCGGUGGCGAAGGCGGCUAUCUGGACGACAACUGACGCUGAGGCACGAAAGCGUGGGGAUCAAACAGG